rnacentral:rRNA from 1 species
GUCGAGCGGCGGACGGGUGAGUAAUGCCUAGGAAAUUGCCCUGAUGUGGGGGAUAACCAUUGGAAACGAUGGCUAAUACCGCAUAAUGCCUACGGGCCAAAGAGGGGGACCUUCGGGCCUCUCGCGUCAGGAUAUGCCUAGGUGGGAUUAGCUAGUUGGUGAGGUAAUGGCUCACCAAGGCGACGAUCCCUAGCUGGUCUGAGAGGAUGAUCAGCCACACUGGAACUGAGACACGGUCCAGACUCCUACGGGAGGCAGCAGUGGGGAAUAUUGCACAAUGGGCGCAAGCCUGAUGCAGCCAUGCCGCGUGUGUGAAGAAGGCCUUCGGGUUGUAAAGCACUUUCAGUCGUGAGGAAGGUGGUGUAGUUAAUAGCUGCAUUAUUUGACGUUAGCGACAGAAGAAGCACCGGCUAACUCCGUGCCAGCAGCCGCGGUAAUACGGAGGGUGCGAGCGUUAAUCGGAAUUACUGGGCGUAAAGCGCAUGCAGGUGGUUUGUUAAGUCAGAUGUGAAAGCCCGGGGCUCAACCUCGGAAUAGCAUUUGAAACUGGCAGACUAGAGUACUGUAGAGGGGGGUAGAAUUUCAGGUGUAGCGGUGAAAUGCGUAGAGAUCUGAAGGAAUACCGGUGGCGAAGGCGGCCCCCUGGACAGAUACUGACACUCAGAUGCGAAAGCGUGGGGAGCAAACAGGAUUAGAUACCCUGGUAGUCCACGCCGUAAACGAUGUCUACUUGGAGGUUGUGGCCUUGAGCCGUGGCUUUCGGAGCUAACGCGUUAAGUAGACCGCCUGGGGAGUACGGUCGCAAGAUUAAAACUCAAAUGAAUUGACGGGGGCCCGCACAAGCGGUGGAGCAUGUGGUUUAAUUCGAUGCAACGCGAAGAACCUUACCUACUCUUGACAUCCAGAGAACUUUCCAGAGAUGGAUUGGUGCCUUCGGGAACUUUGAGACAGGUGCUGCAUGGCUGUCGUCAGCUCGUGUUGUGAAAUGUUGGGUUAAGUCCCGCAACGAGCGCAACCCUUAUCCUUGUUUGCCAGCGAGUAAUGUCGGGAACUCCAGGGAGACUGCCGGUGAUAAACCGGAGGAAGGUGGGGACGACGUCAAGUCAUCAUGGCCCUUACGAGUAGGGCUACACACGUGCUACAAUGGCGCAUACAGAGGGCAGCAAGCUAGCGAUAGUGAGCGAAUCCCAAAAAGUGCGUCGUAGUCCGGAUUGGAGUCUGCAACUCGACUCCAUGAAGUCGGAAUCGCUAGUAAUCGUGGAUCAGAAUGCCACGGUGAAUACGUUCCCGGGCCUUGUACACACCGCCCGUCACACCAUGGGAGUGGGCUGCAAAAGAAGUAGGUAGUUUAACCUUCGGGAGG